GACGAACGCUGGCGGCGUGCUUAACACAUGCAAGUCGAACGGAAAGGCCCUGCUUUUGUGGGGUGCUCGAGUGGCGAACGGGUGAGUAACACGUGAGUAACCUGCCCUUGACUUUGGGAUAACUUCAGGAAACUGGGGCUAAUACCGGAUAGGAGCUCCUGCUGCAUGGUGGGGGUUGGAAAGUUUCGGCGGUUGGGGAUGGACUCGCGGCUUAUCAGCUUGUUGGUGGGGUAGUGGCUUACCAAGGCUUUGACGGGUAGCCGGCCUGAGAGGGUGACCGGCCACAUUGGGACUGAGAUACGGCCCAGACGCCUACGGGAGGCAGCAGUGGGGAAUAUUGCACAAUGGGCGGAAGCCUGAUGCAGCAACGCCGCGUGCGGGAUGACGGCCUUCGGGGUGUAAACCGCUUUCGCCUGUGACGAAGCGUGAGUGACGGUAAUGGGUAAAGAAGCACCGGCUAACUACGUG
rnacentral:rRNA from 1 species